GGUUGAUCAUGGCUCAGAUUGAACGCUGGUGGAUGCUUUACACAUGCAAGUCGAACGGCAGCACGGACUUCGGUCUGGUGGCGAGUGGCGAACGGGUGAGUAAUGUAUCGGAACGUGCCUAGUAGCGGGGGAUAACCACGCGAAAGCGUAGCUAAUACCGCAUACGCCCUUCGGGGGAAAGCGGGGACCUUCGGGCCUCGCACUAUUAGGAGCGGCCGAUAUCGGAUUAGCUAGUUGGUGGGGUAACGGCUCACCAAGGGGCGACGAUCCGUAGCUGGUUUGAGAGGACGACCAGCCACACUGGGACUGAGACAUGGCCCAGACUCCUACGGGAGGCAGGGGAAUUCUUGACAAUGGGAACUCUGAUCCGCGCCAGCCAUCCCGGCGUGUGCGAUGAAGGCCUUCGCGCUUGUAAAGCACUUUUGGCAGGAGUAAAGAAACGGCACGGGAUAAUACCCCGUGCAACUGACGGUACCUGCAGAAUAAGCACCGGCUAACUACGUGCCAGCAGCCGCGGUAAUACGUAGGGUGCAAGCGUUAAUCGGAAUUACUGGGCGUAAAGCGUGCGCAGGCGGUUCGGAAAGAAAGAUGAACCCCAGAGCUUAACUUUGGAACUGCAUUUUUAACUACCGAGCUAGAGUGUGUCAGAGGAGGUGGAAUUCGCGUGUAGCAGUGAAAUGCGUAGAUAUGCGGAGGAACACCGAUGGCGAAGGCAGCCUCCUGGGAUAACACUGACGCUCAUGCACGAAAGCGUGGGGAGCAAACAGAUUAGAUACCCUGGUAGUCCACGCCCUAAAACGAUGUCAACUAGCUGUUGGGGCCUUCGCCUUGGUAGCGCAGCGCUAACGCGUGAAGUUGACCGCCUGGGGAGUACGGUCGCAAGAUUAAAACUCAAAGGAAUUGACGGGGACUCCGCACAAGCGGUGGAUGAUGUGAUUUAAUUCGAUGCAACGCGAAAACCUUACCUACCCUUGACAUGUCUGAAUCCCGAAGAGAUUUGGGAGUGCUCGCAAGAGAACCGGAACACAGGUGCUGCAUGGCUGUCGUCAGCUCGUGUCAGGAGAUGUUGAAGUUAAGUCCCGCAACGAGCGCAACCCUUGUCAUUAGUUGCUACGAAAGGGCACUUCCGAAGGAGACUGCCGGUGACAAACCGGAGGAAGGUGGGGGGAUGACGUCAAGUCCUCAUGGCCCUUAUGGGUAGGGCUUCACACGUCGUACAAUGGUUGGGACAGGGUCGCCAACCCGCGAGGGGGAGCCAACUUGGAAACCCGAUCGUAGUCCGGAUCGCAGUCUGCAACUCGACUGCGUGAAGUCGGAAUCGCUAGUAAUCGCGGAUCAGCAUGUCGCGGUGAAUACGUUCCCGGGUCUUGUACACACCGCCCGUCACACCAUGGGAGUGGGUUUUACCAGAAGUAGUUAGCCUAACCGUAAGGAGGGCGAUUACCACGGUAGGAUUCACGACUGGGGUGAAGUCGUAACAAGGUAG
rnacentral:rRNA from 1 species